UACGGUGGGAGCUAGUGUUAUUGUGAUGACUGGGCGUAGGGUGUGUAGGUGGUAAAGGAUAAAUCGAAUUAAAGUCUGGAUCGCAAUCCUUAACAGUUCGAUUAAAAAAUUUACUUGAAUUAGAGAAAAGAAACUGGUAUGUUUAUGGAGAAGUUAAAUCUGCGAUAUAUAUAGGACCGACAUUGGUGAAACAAGUUUCUGAUCCUAUAUUGAGCUAAAAACACGAAGGCAGGGGAGCAAAAAGGG
rnacentral:rRNA from 1 species